rnacentral:rRNA from 1 species
GUCCUUUAGUUAUUUAUUUAAGGUCUGACCUGCCCAAUGAUUUUUUAAUGGCCGCGGUAUAUUAACCGUGCAAAGGUAGCAUAAUCAUUUGUCUCUUAAUUGGAGGCUGGAAUGAAUGGUUGGACGAGAAAUAUUCUUUCUUUUUUUUAUUUAAUGAAUUUUAUUUUCUAGUUAAAAAGCUGGAAUUUUUUUAUAGGACGAGAAGACCCUAUAGAAUUUUAUAGUUUUUGAAGUGUUAUCUCUUUUAGUUUUUUAUUGGAUUUCAUUUAUUAUCUAUUUUGUUGGGGCGACAGGUAAAUUUUUUUAACUUUUCUUUUUUUUUUCAUUAAUUUAUGUUUUUAUGAUCCGUUUAUUGACGAUUAAAAGAUUAAAUUACCUUAGGGAUAACAGCGUUAUUUCUUUGGAAAGUUCUUAUCGAUAAAGGAGUUUGCAA